CGAAGUGCUUAACUUCACCAGCCGGGAGGAGAAACCCAACCGGGAAAGCGCUAGCGAAUCUCUUAGUGCAACCGCUGCACUUGUGAUGAACGUUAUGUUAAAAAAAAUGCUGGAAUCCCUUCUAGCGUAUUGAAAAACGUGAAAGGCGUGUAGUCACUGUGUCGGGUUGACUUCAAAAAUUGCACAAUAGUCUCCCUACUGAGGAAGCGGUAGGACUGAUCCGUAAGACUGCAAAGUCGUGAGGAUAAGCUGCCUAGUCAGUACUGCUGGUACCCUUUCACCCAUUCAGAGAGCCCCCAUUUUAUACUUCCGCUCUCCUUGUCGGACUCGAGCAAAAUGAUGAGCCCCUAAAUGUGUUACCUGGUUAAAGCAAUCAGGUUUCUCUUUAAAAUUAAAAAAAAAAAAAAAAAAAAAAGACAGUUCACGUCUUGUUUCCUCCAAGAUAAUGGAGAUUAAGGCGAAGGAGGAAGAAAAAAGAAAGGGAAACAAAAAGCAAGUGACCCCGACGUGAUUCGAACACGCAGCCUUCUGAUCUGGAGUCAGACGCGCUACCGUUGCGCCACGAGGUCCUGCUGAGCAGGCGCGCGCAGAGCCUUAGAACUCGCCCAUCACGGACCGCCGGUGGGACAUGGCCCGGGGGACCUCAGGGGCCGGCGCCGGUGAAGACCCCCUUCUCACUCCCCUAUGGCGACCUCACAGAUUACAACCGCAGGCUCGUGUUUGCUGGGGCGGGGAGGCAGACGUAUCGCGGUCUCCUGCCGAUAGCUCGUCUUCCCUCCCGUCCCAUAACUGAAUGGUUUGGGGACCCUCACGCACAAAUCCAGGAGAACAACUGUGGAAGGAAAUUAGCAGACUCAGGGCAGUGAGGAGCGAAGCAGCAGCUCGGAUAUCUUUGCAUUCGUAUUUUUGCAUCUGGUUCAUGUAGACAGUUUUUUUUUUUCCCCUGGGAACUUGGGAAGCGCUUGAGUCAGCAGUCCUCGGAGUGAAAGCACCUGCUUCUUACCUACCCAAAAAGGGAAUGAGAGAAAUGGAAACCAAUUACUCUGGAAUUUGAGAGUAAAAGGCUGAAGGACACAUACUGACUAUAUAGCCCAAUACUGAUUCAGUCAGCAGUAACAUGGUUGUAAGUUUGCAUCAUGGUGACAUUAUACAGGGAACUAUAUUUAAUUUACUAGCUUGUUAGAUGAAUUAACACCAUACGUAAAUGGACGAUGAGAACAACCAGCAUUCUUGUUUGAUGGUCUCUGCUACUGCUAGUAUUUCUUUGGGUAAAAGGACCCCAGGCUAGCUUGUUCAGAUGAGCAUGGCUUAAAAAAAAAAGUCAAUCCAUAUGUAGAUGUCUAAAUAUAAAUGACCUAUAGCUGAAGCAUUUCUAAAAAUUGGGCUACUCAUUUAAGUAUCUGGGUAUAAAUGUGUUCCUCACUGCAUGCAGCAAAUUUGAAAAUUUUACCCUGAUAAGUGAGAAAUAAAGUUUCCUAAUAAUUUCA
rnacentral:lncRNA from 1 species